GAGUUUGAUCCUGGCUCAGGACGAACGCUGGCGGCGCGCCUAACACAUGCAAGUCGAACGGAGCUUAGAGAGCUUGCUUUUUAAGCUUAGUGGCGAACGGGUGAGUAACGCGUGAGUAACCUGCCCUGGAGUGGGGACAACAGUUGGAAACGACUGCUGAUACCGCAUAAGCCCACGGUGCCGCAUGACACUGAGGGAAAAGGAUUUAUUCGCUUUAGGAUGGACUCGCGUCCAAUUAGCUAGUUGGUGAGGUAACGGCCCACCAAGGCGACGAUUGGUAGCCGGACUGAGAGGUUGAACGGCCACAUUGGGACUGAGACACGGCCCAGACUCCUACGGGAGGCAGCAGUGGGGGAUAUUGCACAAUGGGGGAAACCCUGAUGCAGCGACGCCGCGUGGAGGAAGAAGGUUUUCGGAUUGUAAACUCCUGUCGUUAGGGACGAUAAUGACGGUACCUAACAAGAAAGCACCGGCUAACUACGUGCCAGCCGCCGCGGUAAUAC
rnacentral:rRNA from 1 species